rnacentral:misc_RNA from 1 species
UCUUUUUCUUUUUCUUUUUCUUUAUCUCUCUUUCUCUCUCUUUAGUCUGUAUACAAACGCAAAAAUGGUCUCUAUUAACUCUCAAAGGACUAAACUUUUUCUCUCCUUUUGUAUAUAUAUUCCCUCGUAGUUUAACUCAGAAUUCGCAAUCUUAUUGAACCAUGGCUCUUGUGUAUAAGCUGCCAUCGCUUUCUUCUUCUUCUUCUUUAUCUGGACAAAAUUUCAAGCAUUUCUUCUUAAUCCCAAAAACCAUAUGCUCUUUACAUUUCAAAAGCUCACCUUUCACUGAGAAACAUUCAAUUGAGAGAUACCAAAGAGACCACUGGCUUUAUAACGAUCAGCUAGAUCUUUACCAUCACCAAUCUUCUUCUUCUUCUUCAUGCCCUCUCCCAUCUGACAAAGAGUCUAUAAGGCAAAACGACAUAGCUUUGCAGCUACCAGAGCUGAGGAAGCUACUUCAAGUGCUUAAAGAGAAGAGAGAGACUUUUGGUAAAGAUGGAGAGAAGUGUGGGCCAGGGCAUGUGUAUUUGGUAGGUACAGGCCCAGGGGAUCCGGAAUUGUUGACAUUGAAGGCAGUGAGAGUAAUACAAAAAGCUGAUCUUUUGUUGUAUGAUAGGUUGGUGUCCAAUGAUGUUCUGGAUUUGGUUGGUCCUGAUGCUAGGUUGCUUUAUGUAGGCAAGACUGCUGGCUACCAUAGCAGAACCCAGGAGGAGAUACAUGAGCUGCUUUUGAGUUUUGCUGAAGCAGGAGCUACUGUUGUGAGACUUAAAGGAGGGGAUCCGCUGGUAUUUGGAAGGGGUGGAGAGGAGAUGGAUUUUCUCCAACAGCAAGGAAUUCAAGUGAAAGUUAUUCCAGGUAUCACUGCUGCUUCAGGGAUUGCAGCAGAGUUAGGCAUUCCAUUAACACACCGAGGUGUUGCGAAUAGUGUUAGAUUUCUAACAGGACAUUCGAGGAAAGGAGGAACGGAUCCGCUCUUUGUAGCAGAAAAUGCAGCUGACCCUGAUUCAACCUUGGUAGUUUAUAUGGGCUUGGCAACCCUCCCUUCUCUUGCAUCCAAGUUGAUGCAUCAUGGUCUCCCAUUAAAUACACCAGCUGCUGCAGUGGAGCGAGGGACCACACCUAAGCAGCGUGUGGUAAGUAUAAUCCUGGACAUAUAUGUAAAGUAGGCUGCAGGAAGCCAAAAGCAGAUUUUGGAUUUUGAAGUGCCCAUGUUUCUUACAGAACAUGGAAAAUAAGGAGAAAAAAAAAGAAGCAUAAUUGCUUUGGACUAAAAUUUAUUUAACUAGGCUUCGCUUUUUCAUAUUUUUCACAUCGAGACCCAUCAUUUCUUAUUGACCAUAGCAAGUCUCAGGGAAGGUUUUUAUAAAAUGCCUACUUGAUAUUAAUUAUUUGGUUGACAUAAGAAGAAUUAGAAAAAGAAAAAUUGAUUCCCUACCUAUUAAGUGAAAAUUGUAGUCUGAUUUUGCUUUUGCUAGUUUUAUGGAGGUGUCUGGAAUUGAAACAUUUAUAUAAGGAAUCUUUCACUUGAGCAUGCACAUUAGUCUACACAUCUCUGUCUUUCUUUCUUUCUUAUUCAUUUCUUUUAGCAUGUAGUUCUCAGAAAAGCCUUACUUGUUAAACUUGAAUAAUAAUGUGAAUGAAUUGAAUCCUCAAAGUUUUAUGAGAUGCUAAAAGUUAAAUAUAAAGGUUACAUGUAAUUGACAUUUAUUUGGAAUUGAGUGGUUCCAUCUGAUGGCUUGUUAGAAAUGCACCUAAAUGCAAUGCAAAACAAUGAAGAACAGAUAUGUAGAAUCAAUAAUUUGCGAAUUUUGCUUCUUUUCUAUUCCAGCUCCCAUAGGAUUAUGGUUUGCCUUUACUGAAAUAUCAUAUUUGUGAAUUGUGAGGUCUUUUGAGCCAUAGAAUACUGCAAACAUCAUUUACUAAUAGGAUACUUUUUGAGGCACACAUGUACAUAAAAAGCAUGCCUAUUUUGAAGUUCUGAUGCUGUCAACUGAUUGUAGUUGCACCUGCAAUCAUCCAGGUUUUUGCAGAACUAAAGGAUCUUGCUAAUGAAAUUGCAUCAGCUGAGUUAGUUUCGCCUACACUGAUUGUAAUCGGGAAGGUCGUUGCACUCUCACCAUUCUGGCCACAUUCUUCCAAAGAAGCAUCAUGUUUGAUGGAGGCUGUAUAAGAGAAAUUCACGGCAUGUGCACAAUGAUAAAAUGAAAUUCAGUUCUUUUGCUGCAAUUCGGGGAUUACCUGUUACUUAUGUGUGAAGUUAUAUCUGAAUGUGGAACUGCAGCAUUUCACAAUAUGCAAUUUUCUUGUGUUGUGCUCGAUUGGAUCAGUUCCGGCAGCGUCGUGAAGUUUAAAGAGUCUCACUGUAUAUGAUAGGGAGCUCUUUGAUACUUUUGCUCUUUAAGCAUCUGGAAAAUGGCUGCCAUUUUUUUUUCUAUUUUCUUGCUAUUUGGUUGGCCUGAAAGGGAAAUAUUGGCAUUCGUCUUUCCAAUUUUGGAACAUGAGUCUAAAUUUCAGAUUCAAAUAAUUGUUGUAAUUCUUUCUGAUGAGUUGAGGGUAUAAGAUUAAAUUCCUUCAUAAAAUUGUUUCGGAUUUAACAUUUCAUUCUUGAUCAUAUAUCAAGCAAAUGCAGAAAUACAUGAAACCCCAACCAAGUACAGAUGCACACGAAACAUUCUGCAAAUUACUAGCGGCCAUAUAUUGCAUUCCUGUCGAAAGUUGAAUGAAGGAUGUGCAUAAUAUGCUUUGUAGUCAUUUGUGCUUUUCAUUAAGGAUGUGCAUAAUAUGUCCAGAUUGAUGAAUUUUCUUGAAAUGAAUAUUGAA